rnacentral:rRNA from 1 species
CGGGACGCUGCACCAGUGAGGAAUAUUGCACAAUGGGGGGAACCCUGAUGCAGCAACGCCGCGUGGAGGAUGACGCAUUUCGGUGUGUAAACUCCUUUUAUAUGUCAAGAAAAUGACGGUAGCAUAUGAAUAAGCACCGGCUAACUCCGUGCCAGCAGCCGCGGUAAUACGGAGGGUGCAAGCGUUACUCGGAAUCACUGGGCGUAAAGGACGCGUAGGCGGGUUGGAAAGUCAGGUGUGAAAUCCUACAGCUUAACUGUAGAACUGCACUUGAAACUUCUAAUCUAGAGUAUGGGAGGGGGAGAUGGAAUUAGUGGUGUAGGGGUAAAAUCCGUAGAUAUCACUAGGAAUACCUAAAGCGAAGGCGAUCUCCUGGAACAUUACUGACGCUAAGGCGUGAAAGCGUGGGGAGCAAACAGGAUUAGAUACCCCGGUUGUC